AGAGUUUGAUCAUGGCUCAGGAUGAACGCUGGCGGCGUGCCUAACACAUGCAAGUCGAGCGAUCUUCUUCGGAAGAGAGCGGCGGACGGGUGAGUAACGCGUGGGUAACCUGCCUCAUACACAUGGAUAACAUACCGAAAGGUAUGCUAAUACAAGACGAUAUAAGAGAUUCGCAUGGAUUUCUUAUCAAAGCUCCGGCGGUAUGAGAUGGACCCGCGUCUGAUUAGCUAGUUGGUAAGGUAACGGCUUACCAAGGCGACGAUCAGUAGCCGACCUGAGAGGGUGAUCGGCCACAUUGGAACUGAGACACGGUCCAAACUCCUACGGGAGGCAGCAGUGGGGAAUAUUGCACAAUGGGCGAAAGCCUGAUGCAGCAACGCCGCGUGAGCGAUGAAGGCCUUCGGGUCGUAAAGCUCUGUCCUCAAGGAAGAUAAUGACGGUACUUGAGGAGGAAGCCCCGGCUAACUACGUGCCAGCAGCCGCGGUAAUACGUAGGGGGCUAGCGUUAUCCGGAUUUACUGGGCGUAAAGGGUGCGUAGGUGGUUUCUUAAGUCAGGAGUGAAAGGCUACGGCUCAACCGUAGUAAGCUCUUGAAACUGGGAAACUUGAGUGCAGGAGAGGAAAGUGGAAUUCCUAGUGUAGCGGUGAAAUGCGUAGAUAUUAGGAGGAACACCAGUAGCGAAGGCGGCUUUCUGGACUGUAACUGACACUGAGGCACGAAAGCGUGGGGAGCAAACAGGAUUAGAUACCCUGGUAGUCCACGCCGUAAACGAUGAGUACUAGGUGUCGGGGGUUACCCCCCUCGGUGCCGCAGCUAACGCAUUAAGUACUCCGCCUGGGGAGUACGCUCGCAAGAGUGAAACUCAAAUGAAUUGACGG
rnacentral:rRNA from 1 species